rnacentral:rRNA from 1 species
AUACAGAGGGUGCGAGCGUUAAUCGGAAUUACUGGGCGUAAAGCGCGCGUAGGCGGCUCGAUAAGUCGGAUGUGAAAGCCCCGGGCUCAACCUGGGAACUGCAUUCGAAACUGCCGAGCUAGAGUUUGAUAGAGGAGAGUGGAAUUCCACAUGUAGCGGUGAAAUGCGUAGAUAUGUGGAGGAAGACCAGUGGCGAAGGCGGCUCUCUGGAUCAAAACUGACGCUGAGGUGCGAAAGCGUGGGUAGCAAACAGGAUUAGAUACCCCAGUAGUCC